rnacentral:rRNA from 1 species
AACGAACGCUGGCGGCGCGCCUAAUACAUGCAAGUCGAGCGAGAAGACGUAGCAAUACGUUUGUAAAGCGGCGAACGGGUGAGGAAUACAUGGGUAACCUACCCUCGAGUGGGGAAUAACUAGCCGAAAGGUUAGCUAAUACCGCGUACGCUCCUUGGACUUCGGUUCAGGGAGGAAAGCGAUACCGUGGGUAUCGCGCUCUUGGAUGGGCUCAUGUCCUAUCAGCUUGUUGGUGAGGAACGGCUCACCAAGGCUUCGACGGGUAGCUGGUCUGAGAGGACGAUCAGCCACACUGGCACUGCGACACGGGCCAGACUCCUACGGGAGGCAGCAGUAAGGAAUAUUGCGCAAUGGGCGAAAGCCUGACGCAGCGACGCCGCGUGGGGGGAUGAAGGUCUUCGGAUUGUAAACCCCUUUCGGGAGGGAAGAUGGAAUGGGGUAACCCAUUCGGACGGUACCUCCAGAAGCAGCCACGGCUAACUUCGUGCCAGCAGCCGC